rnacentral:RNase_P_RNA from 2 species
GGAAGCGCUACAGAUGAUUGCAAAAAGAUUUUAACUAAUCUUUUUGAGGAAAGUCCGGGCUCCACAGGGCAGGUCGCCGGGUAACGCCCGGUGCAGGUGACUGUGAGGAUAGUGCCACAGAAAUGUUAACCGCCGAUGGAUUCUUUUGAAUCACAGGCAAGGGUGCAACGGUGGUGUAAGAGACCACCGGCAGUAUCGAGAGGUACUGGCUAGGUAAACCCCGACCGGAGCAAGGCUAAAUUGGGAACUAAGGCGGCCCGCCAUUCCCAGGUAUGCUGCUUGAGGUGUGCAGUAAUGUACAUCCCAGAUAGAUAAUCAUCCACGACAGAACCCGGCUUAUGGAGCGCUUCCUUUU